rnacentral:rRNA from 1 species
CAACGUAUGCAAUCUACCCUCAACAGGAGGAUAGCUCCCCGAAAGGGGAAUUAAGACUCCAUAAGAUGGAGGAGUGGCAUCACUUUUCUAUUAAACUACCAGGGGUUGAGGAUGAGCAUGCGCAUGAUUAGUUAGUUGGCGGGGUAAAGGCCCACCAAGACGAUGAUCAUUAGGGGAACUGAGAGGUUGAUCCCCCACACUGGCACUGAGAUACGGGCCAG